AUUGAACGCUGGCGGCAUGCUUUACACAUGCAAGUCGAACGGCAGCGCGGGCUUCGGCCUGGCGGUGAGUGGCGAACGGGUGAGUAAUGCAUCGGAACGUGCCCAGUAGUGGGGGAUAGCCCGGCGAAAGCCGGAUUAAUACCGCAUACGACCUGAGGGUGAAAGCGGGGGACCGAAAGGCCUCGCGCUAUUGGAGCGGCCGAUGUCGGAUUAGCUAGUUGGUGGGGUAAAGGCUUACCAAGGCGACGAUCCGUAGCUGGUCUGAGAGGACGACCAGCCACACUGGGACUGAGACACGGCCCAGACUCCUACGGGAGGCAGCAGUGGGGAAUUUUGGACAAUGGGGGCAACCCUGAUCCAGCCAUGCCGCGUGCGGGAAGAAGGCCUUUGGGUUGUAAACCGCUUUUGUUCGGGAAGAAAUCCUCUGGGCUAAUACCCCGGGGGGAUGACGGUACCGGAAGAAUAAGCACCGGCUAACUACGUG
rnacentral:rRNA from 1 species